GUGGAGAUGGGUUUUGAGAAAGUGAUAUUGGAAUUUGGUUCAGCUAAAAUGGUCAAUCUGCAUAAUGGUAGCACUUUUCCUUUGAAUUAUGUUGGUACCAGAUAGGGAAGGUAAGUUAGUUGUCCAUUCUCUUGCUAAAGCCUCUCUUAAAUGUUGUGGAGAGGAACUUGUUUGGAUAGAAGAGGUCCCUUCUCAUGUCAUGAACCUUGUUCUUAGUGAUCAUUCGCUUCACGA
rnacentral:misc_RNA from 1 species